rnacentral:rRNA from 1 species
AUUGAACGCUGGCGGCAGGCCUAACACAUGCAAGUCGAGCGGAUGAAGAGAGCUUGCUCUCUGAUUUAGCGGCGGACGGGUGAGUAAUGCCUAGGAAUCUGCCUGGUAGUGGGGGAUAACGUUCCGAAAGGAACGCUAAUACCGCAUACGUCCUACGGGAGAAAGCAGGGGACCUUCGGGCCUUGCGCUAUCAGAUGAGCCUAGGUCGGAUUAGCUAGUUGGUGAGGUAAAGGCUCACCAAGGCGACGAUCCGUAACUGGUCUGAGAGGAUGAUCAGUCACACUGGAACUGAGACACGGUCCAGACUCCUACGGGAGGCAGCAGUGGGGAAUAUUGGACAAUGGGCGAAAGCCUGAUCCAGCCAUGCCGCGUGUGUGAAGAAGGUCUUCGGAUUGUAAAGCACUUUAAGUUGGGAGGAAGGGCAGUAAGUUAAUACCUUGCUGUUUUGACGUUACCGACAGAAUAAGCACCGGCUAACUUCGUGCCAGCCGCCGCGGUAAAAC